rnacentral:rRNA from 1 species
GGACCUGACUGCUAUCGGAUUGAUACUAAGCCAUGCGAGUCAUUGUAGCAAUACAAGGCAGACGGCUCAGUAACGCGUAGUCAACCUACCCUAUGGACGGGAAUAACCUCGGGAAACUGAGUAUAAUGCCCGAUAGAACAUUAUACCUGGAAUGGUUUAUGUUCCAAAUGAUUUAUCGCCGUAGGAUGGGACUGCGGCCUAUCAGUUUGUUGGUGAGGUAAUGGCCCACCAAGACUAUUACAGGUACGGGCUCUGAGAGGAGUGGCCCGGAGAUGGGUACUGAGACACGGACCCAGGCCCUAUGGGGCGCAGCAGGCGAGAAAACUUUGCAAUGUGCGAAAGCACGACAAGGUUAAUCCGAGUGGUUUCUGCUAAAGGAACCUUUUGUCAGUCCUAGAAACACUGAUGAAUAAGGGGUGGGCAAGUUCUGGUGUAAGG